GCGGCGGACGGGUGAGUAACACGUGGGCAACCUGCCCCUUAGACUGGGAUAACUCCGGGAAACCGGAGCUAAUACCGRAUAAUCCCUUUCUCCACCUGGAGAGAGGGUGAAAGAUGGCUUCGGCUAUCACUAAGGGAUGGGCCCGCGGCGCAWUAKCUAGUUGGUAAGGUAACGGCUUACCARGGCAACGAUGCGUASCCSACCUGAGAGGGUGAUCGGCCACACUGGGACUGAGACACGGCCCASACUCCUACGGGAGGCAGCAGUAGGGAAUCUUCCGCARUGGACGAAAGUCUGACGGAGCAACGCCGCGUGAGUGAGGAAGGCCUUCGGGUCGUAAAGCUCUGUUGUGAGGGAARAAGCGGUACCGUUCGAAUAGGGCGGUSCCUUGACGGUACCUCACCAGAAAGCCACGGCUAACUACGUGCCAGCAGCCGCGGUAAUACGUAGGUGGCAAGCGUUGUCCGGAAUUAUUGGGCGUAAAGCGCGCGCAGGCGGCUUCUUAAGUCUGAUGUGAAAUCUCGGGGCUCAACCCCGAGCGGCCAUUGGAAACUGGGGAGCUUGAGUGCAGAAGAGGAGAGUGGAAUUCCACGUGUAGCGGUGAAAUGCGUAGAGAUGUGGAGGAACACCAGUGGCGAAGGCGACUCUCUGGUCUGUAACUGACGCUGAGGCGCGAAAGCGUGGGGAGCAAACAGGAUUAGAUACCCUGGUAGUCCACGCCGUAGACGAUGAGUGCUAGGUGUUAGGGGUUUCGAUGCCCGUAGUGCCGAAGUUAACACAUUAAGCACUCCGCCUGGAGAGUACGGCCGCAAGGCUGAAACUCAGAGGAAUUGACGGGGACCCGCACAAGCAGUGGAGCAUGUGGUUUAAUUCGAAGCAACGCGAAGAACCUUACCAGGUCUUGACAUCCUUUGACCACCCAAGAGAUUGGGCUUCCCCUUCGGGGGCAAAGUGACAGGUGGUGCAUGGUUGUCRUCACCUCGUGUCGUGAGAUGUUGGGUUAAGUCCCGCAACGAGCGCAACCCUUGAUCUUAGUUGCCAGCAUUGAGUUGGGCACUCUAAGGUGACUGCCGGUGACAACCGAAGAAA
rnacentral:rRNA from 2 species